rnacentral:rRNA from 1 species
CCCCCCGACCCGUCUUGAAACACGGACCAAGGAGUAUAACAUGUGCGGGAGUCAAUGGGUCUUGAACAGGCCCAGAGGCGCAAUGAAAGUAAAGGUACGGCACCCGCCUACCGAGUCGGGAUCCAGGUUUCAAUGCCAGGCGCACCGACGGCCCGCCCCGUGCCGUUUACGGCUGGGGCGGAGCAUGAGCGCACACGUUGGGACCCGAAAGAUGGUGAACUAUGCCCGGACAGGACGAGGCCAGAGGAAACUCUGGUGGA